UGAACGCUGGCGGCGUGCCUAAUACAUGCAAGUCGAACGAUGAAGCUCUAGCUUGCUAGAGUGGAUUAGUGGCGCACGGGUGAGUAAUGCAUAGAUAACAUGCCCUUUAGUCUAGGAUAGCCAUUGGAAACGAUGAUUAAUACUGGAUACUCCUUACGAGGGAAAGUUUUUCGCUAAAGGAUUGGUCUAUGUCCUAUCAGCUUGUUGGUGAGGUAAUGGCUCACCAAGGCUAUGACGGGUAUCCGGCCUGAGAGGGUGAACGGACACACUGGAACUGAGACACGGUCCAGACUCCUACGGGAGGCAGCAGUAGGGAAUAUUGCUCAAUGGGGGAAACCCUGAAGCAGCAACGCCGCGUGGAGGAUGAAGGUUUUCGGAUUGUAAACUCCUUUUGUUAGAGAAGAUAAUGACGGUAUCUAACGAAUAAGCACCGGCUAACUCCGUGCCAGCAGCCGCGGUAAUACGGAGGGUGCAAGCGUUACUCGGAAUCACUGGGCGUAAAGAGCGCGUAGGCGGGAUAGCAAGUCAGAUGUGAAAUCCUAUGGCUUAACCAUAGAACUGCAUUUGAAACUGUUAUUCUAGAGUAUGGGAGAGGUAGGUGGAAUUCUUGGUGUAGGGGUAAAAUCCGUAGAGAUCAAGAGGAAUACUCAUUGCGAAGGCGACCUGCUAGAACAUAACUGACGCUGAUGCGCGAAAGCGUGGGGAGCAAACAGGAUUAGAUACCCUGGUAGUCCACGCCCUAAACGAUGAAUGCUAGUUGUUGUGGAGCUUGUCUCUGCAGUAAUGCAGCUAACGCAUUAAGCAUUCCGCCUGGGGAGUACGGUCGCAAGAUUAAAACUCAAAGGAAUAGACGGGGACCCGCACAAGCGGUGGAGCAUGUGGUUUAAUUCGAAGAUACACGAAGAACCUUACCUAGGCUUGACAUUGAUAGAAUCCGCUAGAGAUAGUGGAGUGCUAGCUUGCUAGAACUUGAAAACAGGUGCUGCACGGCUGUCGUCAGCUCGUGUCGUGAGAUGUUGGGUUAAGUCCCGCAACGAGCGCAACCCUCGUCCUUAGUUGCUAACUAUUCGGUAGAGCACUCUAAGGAGACUGCCUUCGCAAGGAGGAGGAAGGUGAGGAUGACGUCAAGUCAUCAUGGCCCUUACGCCUAGGGCUACACACGUGCUACAAUGGGAAGCACAAAGAGAUGCAAUAUUGUGAAAUGGAGCAAAUCUAUAAAACUUCUCUCAGUUCGGAUUGUAGUCUGCAACUCGACUACAUGAAGCUGGAAUCGCUAGUAAUCGUGAAUCAGCCAUGUCACGGUGAAUACGUUCCCGGGUCUUGUACUCACCGCCCGUCACACCAUGGGAGUUGUAUUCGCCUUAAGUCGGGAUACUAA
rnacentral:rRNA from 1 species